rnacentral:sRNA from 1 species
CCCAGGAGGGACUGGCCUCCCAGAAGGCCUGGAUCCUGGGUGUGGUGGGACUCAGCUGCUGCAGGCAUGGCAUGUAGAAGGGAGAUAAAGUCUGACAGUAUGUGGCCUUCGCUUCCCUCUUCUUCAUCCUGGUCUCCAUCACCACCUUCUGCUUGGAGACCCACGAGCGCUUCAACCCCAUCGUGAACAAGACGGAGAUCGAGAACGUUCGCAAUGGCACGCAAGUGCGCUACUACCGGGAGGCCGAGACGGAGGCCUUCCUUACCUACAUCGAGGGCGUCUGUGUGGUCUGGUUCACCUUCGAGUUCCUCAUGCGCGUCAUCUUCUGCCCCAACAAGGUAGAGUUCAUCAAGAACUCGCUCAACAUCAUUGACUUUGUGGCCAUCCUGCCCUUCUACCUGGAGGUGGGGCUGAGCGGCCUGUCCUCCAAGGCAGCCAAGGACGUGCUGGGCUUCCUGCGCGUGGUCCGCUUCGUGCGCAUCUUGCGCAUCUUUAAGCUGACCCGCCACUUUGUGGGCCUGCGGGUCCUGGGCCACACGCUCCGAGCCAGCACCAACGAGUUCCUGCUGCUCAUCAUCUUCCUGGCCUUGGGCGUGCUGAUCUUCGCCACCAUGAUCUACUACGCCGAGAGGAUAGGGGCACAGCCCAACGACCCCAGCGCCAGUGAGCACACGCACUUUAAGAAUAUCCCCAUCGGCUUCUGGUGGGCCGUGGUCACCAUGACGACCCUGGGCUACGGAGACAUGUACCCGCAGACGUGGUCCGGCAUGCUAGUGGGGGCCCUGUGUGCGCUGGCGGGCGUGCUCACCAUCGCCAUGCCCGUGCCCGUCAUCGUGAACAAUUUCGGGAUGUAUUACUCCUUAGCCAUGGCUAAGCAGAAACUACCAAA